rnacentral:rRNA from 1 species
CUACGGGCGGCUCCAGUGGGGAAUAUUGGACAAUGGGCCAUGAGCCUGAUCCAGCAAUUCUGUGUGAACGAAGAAGGCUUUCGGGUCGUAAAGUUCUUUCGGCAGGGAAGAAGAAAGUGACGGUACCUGCAUAAGAAGCGACGGCUAAUUACGUGCCAGCAGCCGCGGUAAUACGUAAGUCGCAAGCGUUAUCCGGAUUUACUGGGCGUAAAGGGCGUCUAGGCGGUUUUUUAAGUCAGAGGUGAAAAGUCAGGGCUCAACCUUGGCCUGGCCUUUGAAACUGGGGAACUAGAGUACGGAAGAGGAGGGUGGAACUACAAGUGUAGCGGUGGAAUGCGUAGAUAUUUGUAGGAAUGCCGAUGAUGAAGAUAGCCCUCUGGGACGAUACUGACGCUAAAGCGCGAAAGCUAGGGUAGCAAACAGGAUUAGAUACCCCUGUAGUC